ensembl:lncRNA
GUCAGCCCUGCUGGCUGUUAAUAAAGUGAGAGGAUGCGGCGUUCUGCGUGGAACGCCCAUUCUGAAAUGAGUGAUGAGCUUCAUAAUGAGGGACGCUGAGAUAGAUGGGUGGGUGACAUUUGAUAGCGGUGGGAGGUGAGAAGGGUCCCUCUCCGCUGGCAGCGGUUCUCGGCUCUGUGACACGGCCGUGGCUGCGCGGUGACUCAGAGCUGCUCGGGAUAACGCGGUGCUCCUCGCAGCGGUCGCUGAGAUCUGCAGCUCAUUGCCAGAAGGAAAUGGCAGCGCAAUUAACAAAAAAGGACCUGAAUAAAAUGUAAAGCACGUCAGGGUGUUUUUGUGUUUUCAGUGAACUCGUUACCAGUUCAAACUAGACAGAUUCAUACAUACACCUACAGUGCAACUGCGGUUCCUCGCUCCGAGGUGACAUUGUGAGGGAUCAAAGGAAGGACAUCACUCCUGAGGGCACUCAGUGGAGAAGGCCGAUCAGUGAACGCGCUGAUGAUAAGCUGCUAAAAGACAUUGCUGCUAUGGGCUAAUUCAUUUAUCCCCAUUUAAAAGACAGACGUGAGGCACGGGGAGAGGGGUAUAGGUCAUAAGGCCACACAAGAGACAGAGGGCGAAAUGUGAGAAAUCUAAGCUAGUGUUUCUUGUGCUACCAUGAAAGUACCUGUGUGCUACAGCAUCGUAGGCCACAACAUGGAAAAAAGCAAGUAUCAAAAACGUCACCUGGCUUCAGAAUUCUCGAUAAAUUUGUCAAAUCACGUUGCUUUUAACUGAAAUUAGAGUUUAUCUAGGAUAGAUAAGCCCGUAUUCUCCCAUUGUGCAGACAGUACUAUGAGACGUACAUUACGGUGAGAAGCAGACAAAACAGCUACAGGUCAGUUGCUUUCUCCCACAUCUCAUUAUCUCCAUACAGCCUUGAAAGGAAGCCACAGCGUACGCCAGGCAGUCGGUUAACUAAACCACACUCAUCCACUGAAUAUGCAGAAUACAUGUCUGUUCCCAUUUCUUUUUCUGAUUGUAAGUCCAGAUUGUUCUUCAACCAGAAAAACUGCAAUCUGAAGGACAAGAUCACUUCAAGAUGAGUCAUGACAGUAUACGUAUGUAUUGUUUUAGAAUAUCACCACUUGUACAGACACUUUCGCAGAUGUCUGGAUUUCCCUUUUUGUGAUGAGACAGCAAAUGAGACAGCAGCAGCGAGAUGACUGGGCAGGAGCUCUGCAAAGCAGAUGCUGAGGAUUAUAGAGAACCACAAGUUGGAAAUCGGUCAGAAUGUGAAGAAGGGUAUCAUACUGGUGUUUGUAUGCAGGGGUGCCAUAUCCAAAGCAUGAAGUAAACAAGCAAUUCUUUUACUAAGAACCUGAACGGAAGUGUGUCCAGUUAGAAGAACGGGUCAUGAUAAAUAUAGAGCAACCGGACAGAGUCAAGAAGAGAGUGACAAGAGUGACACAAGGAAAGACUGCAAUGACUCGGUCUAGAAAAUGUAAAAUGUACAAAAUAGGCCAUUAAAGAGAGGGAGAUGCUUUUGUUUUAUUUCCAUUAGUGGAAAUUUUAACAGCAGGCCAGAUAAAUAUUUUUCAGACGCAGUUGAAGUUGAUCCUGCCUUGAGACAAGGGACUGCACUAAAAGGACCACGAAUGACUUUUGUGGCAGUUUUCAGGAUUUCUCCUUUCUGUUUUUCUGAUCUCUGCAGUGCCAUGGAAACUGCAAUACCCUGUACUGCCCUACAGAGGCUGAAGGCCUUUUGUUAAAUCGUCUCUCAGACUUCCAUUUCUGUCAUGUGGUCUUUUGGUUUAGUAAUGUCUUCAUGAGAAUAGACUGUUUCAUGUUGUACGUGGCCAAUUCAUUGCUUCUGAUGCAGGGCACUCCAUUACGUACUACUUAUUGAUACUGAGCUUAAUUAUCCUUUUGACUUUAUUCAAUUAAGGUCCAAACUGAUGCCAGCUUUCUGAAAAGUCAUAUUGCAAGUUCGCCUGGAAGUUAGAUGAAGUAUAUUCCAUGUAUGCAAUGAAAACUCAGAUUUACUAACAUUUUAAAUAUAAUAUUAAUUAAUUUUCAUUAUAUGGAGACUCUACUACCAAUAGAACUAAUUUCAAUAUGCAGGAAAGUGCUGGAGAGUUUUGCUAACAAAAGGGGUUGUUUCUGGGGGGUCUGGAGACUUUUGGAAGGAGUUGGAAAGUUAGUUCCCAGUCCCAUCUCAGCCAAAACAGGUGAGGUACUUUGUAAAUACAUAUUUUACAAUCUUAGCCUUAUUAGAAGAAAUAGAAACAUCAGCCUGUAAAACUAUUUGCCCAUGUAGCAUUUUCUUGUGUUUUCUCAAGGAAGUUAGUAAUAAAACUGU